CAGUAGCCACGGGAAAACGUAGGGUCCGAGCGUUGUCCGGAAUUAUUGGGCGUAAAGAGCUCGUAGGCGGUUUGUCGCGUCUGCUGUGAAAACCCGAGGCUCAACCUCGGGCCUGCAGUGGGUACGGGCAGACUAGAGUGCGGUAGGGGAGAUUGGAACUCCUGGUGUAGCGGUGGAAUGCGCAGAUAUCAGGAAGAACACCGAUGGCGAAGGCGAUUACCUGGUCUGGCACUGACGCUCAUGUGCGAAAGCGUGGGGAGCAAACAGGAUUAGAUACCCCAGUAGUCCCUGUCUCUUAUAC
rnacentral:rRNA from 1 species